rnacentral:Y_RNA from 1 species
GGCUGGUCCAAAUGCAGUAGUGUUUACAACUAAUUGAUCACAGUUACAGGUUUCUUUGUUCCUUCUCCACUCACACUGCUUCACUUGAUUACCCUUAA